CCUUGACCUUAAAAAUAGUAUGUCAGACAGAACCGUUUGCCACCAGGGGCGUCGCACCCGUGGGGGAUGUGGGUGUUUUGACACCCACACUUUUCCCGGUGAGAGGGUUCAACACCCACACUUUUUAUGCAGUUUUGCAAGAACACCUUAUUAAAGUCGCUCCUCCGUUUCUCUGGCCGCUCUCUGUCUGCUGCGCUGCAUUCUCUCCCCCUCCCCUCUCAAACAUGACGCAGGCUUUAAGUGUUACCGGCUGAUGAUUGGCUGUUCUGCCUUAAGUCCCGCCUCUCUUGGUGUGUAGAUUGAUCGGUCAGCUCGCGCUGAGAAGGCGGGAACUUAUGUUUAUUUACAUCUCCCUUUUUCAGCAUAAAUAAGAUACAGAAAAGAAGGAGGCAGGAGAAGAUUGAUACAGUUUUCAAGAGAAAUCCUGAGAUGAGGUUGCUGGAGGCAUCAGUUUAAAGAGAGAGAGAGGCACAGAAAUUUUCACAGGUGAGCAAUGAAAAAUGAAUGUUUCAGUUUGUGAAAGAGGUAUAUGAAGGAAGAGAGGGUGUGUUUGUGUCAUGGGUGGUCCUUAAUUCCAUCCCAGGUGCACAUACGCGUGUUUCUGGUGUUUUUAUAUCAAAUUUAAAAUGUUAUCCAUCCCCCACACUUUUAAAAAGCUUGCUACGCCCCUGUUUGCCACUGUACGUUAGUAUUAACGACGGCAGUGGGGCCUCUGGCCUUAGUCAAACGAGUUCUGUUUCUGUUUUAAAGCCCAUGUGGGGGGCCCCAUACAUUCUAAAACCAUCAACUAUAUGUAAUACACUUAACCAGCAAUAGUUAGCCUGUCCGGAACCGAGCUGACUAAAACCACAUUACUGUGUGACACUUGCUUUUUAUGUGAAUGGCCCCUACGCUAAUAAGAUUUUUUUCUCUCUCCCUGUCUCGUCCUCGAUCACGAGGACAAUGAGACAAACAGAUCCAGUUCCGGUAAAUGUGAAAGUCGGCACAUUUCUGAUCUACUGGCUGUUCUUCAACGUGAUGUCCAGCUGAUGCCUGUCCAAAGACCACCGGCAGAACCCGCUUGAUCUCAGCUUAAUCUCUUU